rnacentral:rRNA from 1 species
GUUCUCCCUGCCUCCUUGAGAGUCCUGAAGGAACGUUGAAGUCGACGACGUUGAUAGGCCGGGUGUGUAAGCGCAGCGAUGCGUUGAGCUAACCGGUACUAAUGAACCGUGAGGCUUAACCUU